CACUUGAGUCAUUUAAAGGAAAAAUAGUUUGUACCGAUCCUUUGCCAUAAGAUUGCUCACCUAAAAUUAUUGCUCUUUUAUGAUCUUGUAACGCACCGGCAACUAUUUCUGAUGCAGAAGCAGAGCCUUGAUUGAUUAAAACAAUAAUUGGUUUUCCCUUUGUAAUAUCACUGCCUGACGCUGUAAAUCGAGAUAUAUCACUUUUAUCUCUCCCUUUGAUUGAGACAAUUUCUCCUGAAUCAAGAAAAUUAUUUGUAACUCUAGCGGACUGAUCAAGAAGACCACCAGGAUUACUUC
rnacentral:ncRNA from 1 species